GGGUCUUGCAUGAAGGAAUAACGAAUGGAAUUGAGCCAAGGAUGACUUGCCGGUUUAAACCCAACCGGUUUAUGACCAUUGAUUUGGUCUCAUUCACAAUCUGUUGAUUCGUGUCUGGCAAGUUGACCUUGGCUCUGCUUCGUUCUCUAUUCUUCCAUGUUAGAUUC